CGCUAAUAAGAAUAAAAAAAAUAUUUUAGUUUUAAUUGGAUCUGACUUCAUUCGAAUUAUUGUUCGUUGGUGAAAAAGUUGAGAAAUUUUAUUGAAUUUAUUGAAAUCACCAAGAAACACAUGAACAAUUUGGAAACUAUAUAUGAAAUUGGAAACAGAAGAAAAUAAAACCGAAUAAAUUUUAUCGGCAACGUGGGAAUUUGUUUAUUGCUUUGAAAAUAAAAUAAUUAAUGAAAAACAUAUUAUAAUCGAAAAAAAAACUCUACAUAUGCAGAAGAAAAGAAAAUUUUCAAACAAAUAAGGGUUCACCAGUCAAAUUGGAGCACAGGCUUAUUAGAACUUCUCUGAGAAAGACUUCUCUUCUCUGAAAACAAUAAACAAAGCUCCAAUGUAAAAUAGAAUGGAAUAGUGUAAGAAAUAAUAACCUUUCGCAAUCUAGAAGAUAAAAUUUUUAACAAAUUUAAGAAAGCUUACAUGAGGAAAAUUUAAAUUUUCUUUUGAAAUCAAUGAAAGAAGAAAAACAACUUUUCAUACAACAACUGCAAAAUGGAAGAGCAAAGCAGAAAUUAAUAAGGCAAAUUUUUCACCCGGCAAUUAUUCGAUCAUAAAUCUAGAGCUGAGUUCAUAACUGAAGAAAUUUUUCUACAUUAACACCCGGUCUUUACCAACAUUAUCUAUGUGACUCUUGUAUGAAAAUAUUUUCUUUACUUACUUCUAAAAAAUUUGUUAUUUACAAAAGGUUUUUUAAAUGGAAAAUAUAGUUCUGUAAGCGUACGCAUAUCAAUUUUUCCUUUCAC